rnacentral:rRNA from 1 species
GGCAACAGCUCAAAUUUGAAAUCUGGCCCUCGGGUCCGAGUUGUAAUUUGUAGAGGAUGCUUUUGGCGAGGUGCCUUCCGAGUUCCCUGGAACGGGACGCCACAGAGGGUGAGAGCCCCGUAUGGUCGGACACCGAGCCUCUGUAAAGCUCCUUCGACGAGUCGAGUAGUUUGGGAAUGCUGCUCAAAAUGGGAGGUAUAUGUCUUCUAAAGCUAAAUAUUGGCCAGAGACCGAUAGCGCACAAGUAGAGUGAUCGAAAGAUGAAAAGCACUUUGAAAAGAGGGUUAAAAAGUACGUGAAAUUGUUGAAAGGGAAGCGCCUAUGACCAGACUUGCGCCCGGUGAAUCAUCCAGCGUUCUCGCUGGUGCACUUUGCCGGGCACAGGCCAGCAUCAGUUUGGCGCGGGGGAAAAAGGCUUCGGGAAUGUGGCUCCCUCGGGAGUGUUAUAGCCCGCUGCGUAAUACCCUGCGCCGGACUGAGGUACGCGCAUCGCAAGGAUGCUGGCGUAAUGGUCAUCAGCGACCCGUCUUGAAACACGGACCAAGGAGUCGUCUUCGUAUGCGAGUGUUCGGGUGUCAAACCCCUACGCGUAAUGAAAGUGAACGCAGGUGAGAGCUUCGGCGCAUCACCGACCGAUCCUGAUGUUCUCGGAUGGAUUUGAGUAAGAGCAUACGGGGCCGGACCCGAAAGAAGGUGAACUAUGCCUGUAUAGGGUGAAGCCAGAGGAAACUCUGGUGGAGGCUCGCAGCGGUUCUGACGUGCGAAUCGAUCGUCAAAUAUGGGCAUGGGGGCGAAAGACUAAUCG